AGGUGAACUGCGGCCUGAUCAUGUUG
rnacentral:rRNA from 1 species